GAUGAACGCUGGCGGCGUGCCUAAUACAUGCAAGUCGAGCGAACAGACGAGGAGCUUGCUCCUCUGACGUUAGCGGCGGACGGGUGAGUAACACGUGGAUAACCUACCUAUAAGACUGGGAUAACUUCGGGAAACCGGAGCUAAUACCGGAUAAUAUAUUCAACCGCAUGGUUCAAUAGUGAAAGACGGUUUUGCUGUCACUUAUAGCUGGAUCCGCGCCGCAUUAGCUAGUUGGUAAGGUAACGGCUUACCAAGGCAACGAUGCGUAGCCGACCUGAGAGGGUGAUCGGCCACACUGGAACUGAGACACGGUCCAGACUCCUACGGGAGGCAGCAGUAGGGAAUCUUCCGCAAUGGGCGAAAGCUUGACGGAGCAACGCCGCGUGAGUGAUGAAGGUCUUCGGAUCGUAAAACUCUGUUAUUAGGGAAGAACAAAUGUGUAAGUAACUAUGCACGUCUUGACGGUACCUAAUCAGAAAGCCACGGCUAACUACGUG
rnacentral:rRNA from 1 species